rnacentral:rRNA from 1 species
AGCUCCAAUAGCGUAUAUUAAAGUUGUUGCAGUUAAAAAGCUCGUAGUUGGAUUUCAGUCUUAAUUCGUCUGGCCCGCUCCCUUGAGGAGCCGAGUGCCGGUUGCGAAUUGGACUUCCUUCUAGCAUGAAUCUCCUACCGUUAUGCGGCCGGGAAGGACAUCUGGAUCAUUUACUUUGAAGAAAUUAGAGUGUUCAAAGCAAGCUUACGCUGUGAAUAUAUUAGCAUGGAAUAAUAACAUAGGACUCGGGUUCUAUUUUGUUGGUUUCUAGGACUCAAGUAAUGAUUGAUAGGGACAGUUGGGGGUGCUGCUAUUAUAUGGCCAGAGGUGAAAUUCACGGAUUCAUAUAAGAGCAACUUAUGCGAAAGCAUUCACCAAGGAUGUCUUCU